rnacentral:lncRNA from 1 species
GCGGAGGGGACGGCGGUGGCGGGGGAGGAGAUGGAGGUUUGGGUGACGGCGGCUCAGGAGACGGUGGCGGCGGAGGAGGGGAAGGAGGAGGCGACGGAGGAGGAGACGGCGGAGGAGAAGGAGGAGGGGAAGGUGGAGGGGAAGGAGGCUUAAGCGAGGGUGGCUCCGGAGACGGCGGCGGCGGCGGCGGAGAGGGAGGCUCAGGCGAAGGCGGCUCAGGUGAGGGUGGCGGCGGCGGAGGGGACGGAUGCGGUGACGGGGGAGGGGACGGAGGAGGGGACGGAGGAGGGGACGGCGGUGGCGGGGGAGGAGAAGGAGGUUUGGGUGACGGCGGCUCAGGAGACGGUGGCGGCGGAGGAGGGGAAGGAGGAGGAGACGGAGGAGGAGACGGCGGAGGAGAAGGAGGGGAAGGUGGAGGGGAAGGAGGCUUGGGCGAGGGUGGCUCCGGAGACGGCGGCGGCGGCGGCGGAGAGGGAGGCUCAGGCGAGGGCGGCUCAGGAGACGGUGGCGGCGGAGGAGGGGAAGGAGGAGGCGACGGAGGAGGAGACGGCGGAGGAGAAGGAGGAGGGGAAGGAGGAGGGGAAGGAGGCUUGGGCGAGGGUGGCUCCGGAGACGGCGGCGGUGGCGGCGGAGAGGGAGGCUC